GGUUCCAUGGUGUAGUGGUUAGCACAUCUGCUUUCCACGCAGAAGAUCCUGGGUUCAAUCCCCAGUGGAACCA
rfam:Loxodonta africana unplaced genomic scaffold scaffold_139, whole genome shotgun sequence.